GCACUACCCUCCCGGCUGGGAACCCCAUCCAGGUAAGGGGACGGCAACAGCUCGGGCCUGGUGCCCACCUGUGUUUUCCAGCAGCGUCUUGGGGGUGUUGGGCCGGUUGAUGAUCUCCACCAGGUUGUUGAGGACCAUCUGCACGUAGGGCUGCAUCUCUGCCCCUGGGGGACCGGUCAGUCAGAGCCCCGCACAGCCCAGACCACCCAUGCUGACCUCAGCUGCAUCUACACACUGACCCCCUGCAACCGCUGAGGGAACGGAGAACAUUCUCCAGCUGGUCCCCGGCUCAGGACCCGUGGCCAACCAGGGGCAGACCCAAGCCUUCCAAACGCCAGAAGCUUCCUUGGAGUCACAGCUCCAACACCGGGGCGAGACCGCAUUACCCAGAUUCCCUGUGGGGGAAGACCAAUCACAGACGGCCUUUCAGCCAUUUGGGAGUCUCCCAGAGGAAACCACUCAGAGAGGUCUUCUUGCCAGACCAACUGCGGCAAUCCUCAAGGAGCACCGGGGCUCUCUCCCCAGGGGCCUGGCAGGCACGGCCAGGGGUCUGCCCUCAACAGGGAACAGACCGAUGUGGGUGACAGCGCGGGGCCCGUCAACUUGCAGCACACUCACCCAUCUGCAUGCAGAUCUCGCCGAUGGCCCAGGUGGCAUUGUUGCAGACAGAGAUGAACUCAGGGUUCAGGUUGGUGCCCAGGAUGGGCAUGAACUCGGCUGGUGGGGAGAAAGAAGAGUGCUGGGCAGGGGGGCCAGCCAGGGUGAGCUCCCGGGCCUGGCCCGGGCAGACCCCAUCAGACAGUACGAAUACAUCCCGAUUUGGUCAUUGUCCUCCCA